GGUCUUAAGCAGAGAUGGGAGACUGGAACAGAAAGAUGAUAAUUGUAGUGAGGCAAGCUGAGGUCAGUGGGAAGGAGAAGCAGCAAAGUCAAAACAGUCCAAAUUCGGCAACAGGAAGGAGAAACAGGAACACGCUUGAUUAGAGAGUACAGGAACCACAAUAAUCUGGCAAAGGUACAGAGACAGGAAGUGGCUUUUAUAGGCCAAGAACCAGACACCUGAC